rnacentral:lncRNA from 1 species
AGAGAGAGAGAGAGAGAGAGAGAGAGAGAGAGAGAGAGAGAGAGAGAGAAAGGUAGGUUCAUAUGUGGAUUGACAACUAUUGUAUGGUCAUAGGAACCAAUUAGAAUUAAAAAAAAAUCAUUAAUUAAUCUAAUAAAGGAUAGUUUUGUCAUUUUAUAUAUGCAUUUGAUUAUAAUCCCUAAAUCAAUGGGUCAAAUCCCUUAAAUCCAUACAGUGCAUCUAAUUAACCUCAUAUUAAAACAAUCGCUCACAACUCUUCCAUUACUCCUUUCCGUCGUCACCCACAACAACCAGCAUCGCUGCCUCAUAACCUUAAUCUAAACAAUAGUCGAUCUUUCCUCAUAUAUCCCCACCAUUGGCCGCUUCCAGAUCAUACAUGUUGUCGUUGAUUCCUCCACCUAAUACAACUGACACCCACCCCCUGAAGCACCCUCCAUUAACGCUGCCCACCUCCAGCCCAUCAGUUGAAUCCUCCCAUUCGACGACACCAGCCUGUCGUGAGAUCUCAAAAAGGUCAACCCUACAUCACUCUUAUCUAUUUUCUUGUAUUAUUUUCAAGAGUAUAACCAUUUUUCAUUGGUUGCUUUUGGAAUUCUUAGGUUUUGACAAAUUUUACUAGACCAUAACAAAAUUGUAUUAUAGCUGAUUGCUUUGGUGGUAAAAAAUUUACGAUCGUGAUGACGUAUGGUAGCUGGUUUCUUCUAAGGUUUUUACCACUUAACUCAAUUCAAAGAUUUUACUAUGUGUCCUGUUUUGCUUGAUUCCACCAUCUUGUACACCUCUUAUCUUAUGCAAGUAUGUUAUUUUCUUUCCCCCUUUUUCUAAUUUAGUUAAUUAUGUUUUGUUUACAUAUUUUUUUUCCAUUAUCUUCCAGUUAUAGUAAUACUAUUGGAUAGUAGAUACCAACGAUCUUCUUAUUGAUUUGUGAUUGAGUAUAAGUUUUCAAGAAAUAAGUGAAUAGUGUUUAUCUUUAAGAGUUGUACUUGUAUUUCACUUGAAAAGAUCUUAUGUGUAUAUACAUGCUUGUAUGUGUUCAAUAGGUCUUUGGUGGACAUAACCAAAGAACAAAGUAUAAACAAUAACAUCAAUAUGUGUGUAGAAUACUCAUAAACUCAUUCUAUUUGAAUAUUUAAAUGAUCAUUCGGUUAGAAAUAACAUCAUUCUAUUAAAAUAUACAACUAUUCAUUCUAUUAGAAUCUUAUAGCAAUAUAAUGUGGUAUGCAUUCUAUUUUGGAAGAUUGGACUUUAAUUUGUGAAUUUGAUUUAAGGAUUGUCACACGCGUUGGUAGUAAUUUAAAAUGUUGAUUACAGUUAAUGUUGAUAUUCUGUAUAUUUUUUUGACAAUCUCGUAAAACCAUGAAUGAUUGGAGAAUCCACGAUUGAUUCCAGAAUACCAAAUAUUUCGAAAAUCAAGAAGCGAAUAAUGAUUUCAUACAUCUUAAUAGUCAGACAUUCAAGAAGUCAAGAACAAAGGAAAACUGAGAGAUAUAUAAAAGAAGAUGAUGGAUUCUACUAGUUUUACUACCUACAACUUCAUGAAAAAUCCAGAUGAAGAAACCCUAGAAUUCGAUUCUAUUGCUUCCAUUCUCACAGAACGAGUUUUUGUAUCUCAUUCUCGAAGAAUGCAAAAUUAAAUAUUGCUAUUGGUUUUUAGAUUUUUCUAUUUUUUGAUGUAGACUAUUUCAUAGAAUGUAAUUAUUUAAUAUGUUAUUAGUAUAAAAAAAAGGUUUUUGUGUAUUACAUUCUGCUUAGAAUGGAUAUUUUGUAAAAAGAAAAAGUUGAUUUCAUAUAUUCUUAAAUAUAUUCUGUCAGAAUGCACAGCAUAGUUACAAACAUAUUUUUUAUGAUUUUUGAACUAAAAAGAAUGAUUAUCCUCCAAAAUCAGAUUUUUUUUUAAUUAAGAAAAAGUAUCCAUAAAAUCUGGAAUUUACCUUUUUUAAAUCUAGUUAAAUUGAAUAAAAUACCAUUUCAAUGAAUUUUAUGUUAUUAUAUGGUACAUGCUAUUCCACUGUAAUACUAUAGACCCUAGAUCAUAACCAUUCUUGAUUUUUCAUCUGUUGGUUCAAAAUUGUCCUUACGACCACACAAUAGAUAUCAUUCACAUUAUAACCUAACUAUAUAUAUAUAUAUAUAUAUAUAUAUANNNNNUGGGUACCAUAUAACUAUGCUAAAUACAGUCAUAGGAUAGUUUACAAUAAAAGAUAAUUUAAAUUGAAACAUUGAAAAACCAAGUCAAUGACAAACAACCCUAAAAACACCAAACCACGGCUAACAACACAGGCAACAUCAUGACUUAUAGUUAAACGUUUCAAUUUAAAUUACCUAUUAUUAACCUAGACUUUUGUAUUUCAAAUAAUUAUAUGAUACCUAAUGUUUCUAAUAAAUUAAUAAAACCAUAAUUCCAUGAAAUUAUUUAACACUUAAAAGUAAUUAGCCUAUCAUUAGGCUAACAAAAUAUAAGUAAAGAAUACUUACAAUAUUAUAGAAGGAACACAAUAGGAAGGAGUGACCAGGAUACUACAAAGCUUAUUUUAUUAACUUCAAAUAUUUUACAAGAGGACGAGAGUGGAGGGUGAGAAGAAGUGUAAAA